rnacentral:miRNA from 1 species
AACUUACUCCCUGGUUUGUCUGGGACUGAGGGAUUUCUCCAGACAGGAGACUUUCAGUGCUAAAACCAGGGAGGU